rnacentral:rRNA from 1 species
AUUGAACGCUGGCGGCAGGCCUAACACAUGCAAGUCGAGCGGAUGAGAGGAGCUUGCUCCUCGAUUCAGCGGCGGACGGGUGAGUAAUGCCUAGGAAUCUGCCUAGUAGUGGGGGACAACGUUUCGAAAGGAACGCUAAUACCGCAUACGUCCUACGGGAGCAAGUGGGGGAUCUUCAGACCUAACGCUAUUAGAUGGUCCUAGGUCGGAUUAGCUAGUUGGUAGGGUAAAGGCCUACCAAGGGGACGAUCCGUAACUGGUCUGAGAGGAUGAUCAGUCACACUGGAACUGAGACACGGUCCAGACUCCUACGGGAGGCAGCAGUGGGGAAUAUUGGACAAUGGGCGAAAGCCUGAUCCAGCCAUGCCGCGUGUGUGAAGAAGGCCUUCGGGUCGUAAAGCACUUUAAGUUGGGAGGAAGGGCUCAUAGCGAAUACCUGUGAGUUUUGACGUUACCAACAGAAUAAGCACCGGCUAACUUCGUGCCAGCCGCCGCAGUAA